AUUGAACGCUGGCGGCAUGCCUUACACAUGCAAGUCGAACGGUAACAGGUCUUCGGAUGCUGACGAGUGGCGAACGGGUGAGUAAUACAUCGGAACGUGCCCGAGAGUGGGGGAUAACGAGGCGAAAGCUUUGCUAAUACCGCAUACGAUCUCAGGAUGAAAGCAGGGGACCGCAAGGCCUUGCGCUCACGGAGCGGCCGAUGGCAGAUUAGGUAGUUGGUGGGAUAAAAGCUUACCAAGCCGACGAUCUGUAGCUGGUCUGAGAGGACGACCAGCCACAGUGGGACUGAGACACGGCCCAGACUCCUACGGGAGGCAGCAGUGGGGAAUUUUGGACAAUGGGCGCAAGCCUGAUCCAGCCAUGCCGCGUGCAGGAUGAAGGCCUUCGGGUUGUAAACUGCUUUUGUACGGAACGAAAAGACUCUGGUUAAUACCUGGGGUCCAUGACGGUACCGUAAGAAUAAGCACCGGCUAACUACGUGCCAGCAGCCGCGGUAAUAC
rnacentral:rRNA from 1 species